rnacentral:rRNA from 1 species
UAGGGAAUCUUCCACAAUGGACGCAAGUCUGAUGGAGCAACGCCGCGUGAGUGAAGAAGGGUUUCGGCUCGUAAAGCUCUGUUGUUAAAGAAGAACGUGGGUAAGAGUAACUGUUUACCCAGUGACGGUAUUUAACCAGAAAGCCACGGCUAACUACGUGCAAG